rnacentral:rRNA from 1 species
GACGAACCGUGCGAACGUUGUUCGGAAUCACUGGGCUUAAAGGGCGCGUAGGCGGGCUGUCAAGUCUGGGGUGAAAUGCCGCGGCUCAACCGUGGAACUGCCUUAGAUACUGACGGCCUCGAGGGAGGUAGGGGCGUGCGGAACUGUAGGUGGAGCGGUGAAAUGCGUAGAGAUCGGAAAGAACACCAACGGCGAAAGCACUCUGCUGGGCCGACACUGACACUGAGAGACGAAAGCUAGGGGAGCGAAUGGG